CCCACGGUUCAGCCUGCAAACGCUGUGACCCUGUGCAGUGACCUGCCCGGCACCCGGCUGCUGCCAGCCGCUGCUGCCUGUGUGCGGGCAGGGCUGUGGCCCCAGGAGCUCCCCCAGCCCUCUUCUCUCACCCUCCUUAGGCAGCUGCCAGUCCCUUUCACGUGCCUGUCCUGUGACCGCAUGCUCACCGUGCAGGUCCCUGGCCAGUACCCCGAGACACUCCCGUAUUUGCCGCCGCUACCCCCCAGCAAGGAGCCACCGCACAGCCAAAGGAGGCCGGUGGCCCAUGGCAGGUUCCCCCGUGUGCCACCGAGCUCUGGGGACCAUCAGAACAGCAGCUCCACAACGCAGAACAUCAGGGCUUCCCUA